GAUCAUGGCUCAGGACGAACGCUGGCGGCGUGCCUAAUACAUGCAAGUAGAACGCUGAAGGAAGGAGCUUGCUCUUUCCGGAUGAGUUGCGAACGGGUGAGUAACGCGUAGGUAACCUGCCUGGUAGCGGGGGAUAACUAUUGGAAACGAUAGCUAAUACCGUAUAACAGUAGAUAUCGCAUGAUAUUUGCUUGAAAGGUGCAAUUGCACCACUACCAGAUGGACCUGCGUUG
rnacentral:rRNA from 1 species